AGAGUUUGAUCCUGGCUCAGGAUGAACGCUGGCGGCAGGCUUAAUACAUGCAAGUUGAACGGUAACAUGUUGUAGCAAUACGAUGAUGACGAGUGGCGCACGGGUGCGUAACACGUGUGUAACCUACCUUAUACAGGAACAUAACGUUGAGAAAUCGGCGCUAACAUUCCAUAAUAUUAUUUGUAGGCAUCUAUGAAUAAUUAAAACUCCGGUGGUAUAAGAUGGGCACGCGUUCCAUUAGCUAGUUGGUAAGGUAACGGCUUACCAAGGCAACGAUGGAUAGGGGUUCUGAGAGGAUAAUCCCCCACACUGGAACUGAGACACGGUCCAGACUCCUACGGGAGGCAGCAGUAAGGAAUAUUGGGCAAUGGAGGCAACUCUGACCCAGCCAUGCCGCGUGCAGGAAGACGGCCCUAUGGGUUGUAAACUGCUUUUAAUAGGGAUUAAAGUCGACUACGUGUAGUUGUUUGCAAGUACCUAUAGAAUAAGCAUCGGCUAACUCCGUGCCAGCAGCCGCGGUAAUACGGAGGAUGCAAGCGUUAUCCGGAUUUAUUGGGUUUAAAGGGUGCGCAGGCGGACUAAUAAGUCAGUGGUGAAAUUUACAUGCUUAACAUGUGACGUGCCAUUGAUACUGUUAGACUAGUAUACAAAUGACGUAGCUGGAAUGUGUUAUGUAGCGGUGAAAUGCAUAGAUAUAACACAGAACACCGAUCGUGAAGACAGGUUACGAAUUUGUGAUAGACGCUCAUGCACGAAAGCGUGGGGAUCAAACAGGAUUAGAUACCCUGGUAGUCCACGCUGUAAACGAUGAUAACUUGUUGUUGGGCACAUAGUGCUCAGUGGCUAAGCGAAAGCGAUAAGUUAUCCACCUGGGGAGUACGAUCGCAAGGUUGAAAC
rnacentral:rRNA from 1 species